rnacentral:rRNA from 1 species
CAGCUAACGCAUUAAGCACUCCGCCUGGGGAGUACGACCGCAAGGUUGAAACUCAAAGGAAUUGACGGGGGCCCGCACAAGCGGUGGAGCAUGUGGUUUAAUUCGAAGCAACGCGAAGAACCUUACCAGGUCUUGACAUCCUUUGACCACUCUGGAGACAGAGCUUUCCCUUCGGGGACAAAGUGACAGGUGGUGCAUGGUUGUCGUCAGCUCGUGUCGUGAGAUGUUGGGUUAAGUCCCGCAACGAGCGCAACCCUUGAUUUUAGUUGCCAGCAUUUAGUUGGGCACUCUAAAGUGACUGCCGGUGCAAGCCGGAGGAAGGUGGGGAUGACGUCAAAUCAUCAUGCCCCUUAUGACCUGGGCUACACACGUGCUACAAUGGAUAGUACAAAGGGUCGCGAAGCCGCGAGGUGGAGCUAAUCCCAUAAAACUAUUCUCAGUUCGGAUUGUAGGCUGCAACUCGCCUACAUGAAGCCGGAAUCGCUAGUAAUCGUGGAUCAGCAUGCCACGGUGAAUACGUUCCCGGGCCUUGUACACACCGCCCGUCACACCACGAGAGUUUGUAACACCCGAAGUCGGUAGGGUAACCUUUAUGGAGCCAGCCGCCGAAGGUGGGACAGAUAAUUGGGGUGAAGUCGUAACAAGGUAGCCGUAUCGGAAGGUGCGGCUGGAUCACCUCCUUUCUAAGGAA